rnacentral:rRNA from 1 species
UACGUAGGCAGCGAGCGUUGUUCGGAAUUACUGGGCGUAAAGGGUGUGUAGGUGGUGUCGUAAGUUCUGUGUGAAAUCUCCCGGCUUAACUGGGAGGGUGCGCAGAAGACUGCGAUGCUCGAGUAUGGGAGAGGUAAGCGGAAUUCCUGGUGUAGCGGUGAAAUGCGUAGAUAUCAGGAGGAACACCUGUGGUGUAGACGGCUUACUGGACCAUUACUGACACUGAGACACGAAAGCGUGGGUAGCAAACAGG